rnacentral:rRNA from 1 species
UACAGAGGGGGCAAGCGUUAUUCGGAAUUAUUGGGCGUAAAGGGCGCGUAGGCGGCUUUGCAAGUGACGGGUGAAAUCCCUCGGCUUAACCGAGGAACUGCCUGUCAGACUGCAUGGCUUGAGACCAGGAGAGGUGAGUGGAAUCCCCAGUGUAGCGGUGAAAUGCUUAGAUAUGACAUAGAACACCAAUUGCGAAGGCAGCUCACUACACAGUUAUUGACGCUGAGGCACGAAAGCGUGGGGAUCAAACAGG